rnacentral:rRNA from 1 species
AAACGCCUACGGGAGGCAGCAGUGGGGAAUAUUGCACAAUGGGGGAAACCCUGAUGCAGCAAUGCCGCGUGGGUGAAGAAGCACUCCGGUGCGUAAAGCCCUGUCAGCAGGGAAGAAAAUGACAGUACCUGACUAAGAAGCCCCGGCUAACUACGUGCCAGCAGCCGCGGUAAUACGUAGGGGGCGAGCGUUAUCCGGAUUUACUGGGUGUAAAGGGGGCGCAGACGGCCAUGGCAAGCCCGGUGUGAAAGGUGCGGGCACAACCCGCAGACUGCACUGGUAACUGCCUGGCUGGAGUGCCGGAG